UACAGAGGUCUCAAGCGUUGUUCGGAUUCAUUGGGCGUAAAGGGUGCGUAGGCGGCGCGGUAAGUCGGGUGUGAAAUCUCGGAGCUUAACUCCGAAACUGCAUUCGAUACUGCCCGUGCUUUGAGGACUGGAGAGGAGACUGGAAUUUACGGUGUAGCGGUGAAAUGCGUAGAUAUCGUAAGGAAGACCAGUGGCGAAAGG
rnacentral:rRNA from 1 species